CAGGACGAACGCUGGCGGCGUGCUUAACACAUGCAAGUCGAGCGGAAACAUUCUUUCGGGAGAUGUUUAGUGGCGGACGGGUGAGUAACGCGUGAGCAACUUGCCUUGGACAGUGGGAUAACACAGGGAAACCUGUGCUAAUACCGCAUGAAGUGCGAGAGUGGCAUCACUCUUGUACCAAAGGAGCAAUCCGGUCUGAGAUGGGCUCGCGUCCGAUUAGGUAGUUGGUGAGGUAAUGGCCCCACCAAGCCCGCGAUCGGUAGCCGGACUGAGAGGUUGGCCGGCCACAUUGGGACUGAGAUACGGCCCAGACUCCUACGGGAGGCAGCAGUGGGGAAUAUUAGGCAAUGGGGGCAAACCCCUGACCUAGCAACGCCGCGUGAGGGAUGAAGGUUUUCGGAUUGUAAACCUCUUUGGCAGGGGACGAUAAUGACGGUACCCUGAGAACAAGCCACGGCUAACUACGUGCCAGCCGCCGC
rnacentral:rRNA from 1 species